CCGAAGUAUUGCCUUGCCUGUCGGCGUUUUGGUCGUCUUGUUUUGUUCCCGCAAGAUUUCGUCUCGUUGGCUCCAGAAGCAGAAAACCGGGCCGGGGGGAGUGCGAGAGAGACGCGAGUGCUGCUCUGCAUCGGAGACGUGGGGGAGUGAAAAGGUCUGCUGAAGCCAUUCAUCUGUGACAACGGAGUUGGAACUAGGAAGCUCGUAUACUUUGCGGCUCAAAGCGACUCUGCUAUGACGAUUGCGUCAAUGUCUUCAUAAAGCACACCAAUGGAAGAGAUCAUGAUGCAAUCAAAAGAGAUCAUCACCAUUGCAGCACCAGCAGAAGCUUAAGAAGGU